GAGGUGGCAACAAUUGUUUGUAUUAGAAGAGGGAGGUGGCAACAAUUGUUUGUAUUAGAAGAGGGAGGUGGCAACAAUUGUUUGUAUUAGAAGAGGGAGGUGGCAACAAUUGUUUGAUAUUCCAAGAGAAAGGGAGGUGGCAACAAUUGUUUGUAUUAGAAGAGGGAGGUGGCAACAAUUGUUUGUAUUAGAAGAGGGAGGUGGCAACAACUGUUUGUAUUAGAAGAGGGAGGUGGCAACAAUUGUUUGUAUUAGAAGAGGGAGGUGGCAACAAUUGUUUGUAUUAGAAGAGGGAGGUGGCAACAAUUGUUUGUAUUAGAAGAGGGAGGUGGCAACAAUUGUUUGUAUUAGAAGAGGGAGGUGGCAACAACUGUUUGUAUUGGAAGAGGGAGGUGGCAACAAUUAGAAACAACGUGUGAGUGAAGAAGGACAGGGGCUUUUUGCAUCAACAACAGGUGCAUAGCAGCAUUAAUAGCGUAUUGUAUUAUUACAUAUUGAACAGCAUUCCUUUAUUCUGCAUUUCACUUCAAUUGUUAUUGUAGUUUUUUAAUGAAAACGAAUUCCCCAGUAAAAUCUAAAUCUAAUA